GAACUGAAGAGUUUGAUCCUGGCUCAGAUUGAACGCUGGCGGCAUGCUUUACACAUGCAAGUCGAACGGCAGCACGGGCUUCGGCCUGGU
rnacentral:rRNA from 1 species